CUAGGAAGAACCUACCGGAUGCGACAUGGAACGGUCCAUCUCUAGAUCAUCCUCUUCUCUCCUUUCUGCCACCAACCUUCCUUUCUAAGCUGGGACGGGAAUAAAAGAAGAGAAAUAUACAGUAUGUUUACACACUGUUGCAGUGUCAAAGGUGAAUUUGCUGGACAAGAGAAGCUACAGAGGAUUAGGAGAUUUGGAAACCCAGCGUUUAAUGGGACCAUUGACUAGGAAGAGUGCAGGGCUGUUAGUUCUCACUUUGCCCAAAGUGGCGCUGUUUCCACCUCUCAGUCAAAGGCAGCUGAAGCUUGAAUUCCUUAGGUAGCAGGUUUUGGAAAGGGUUAGACAUAGGUUCAGCAAGAAAUGAAUGGGAAAGGAAAUGAGGGGCGCGGGGGAUAAGGUCCGGAAGAGACUUCUGAAGGCAAAGGAAAUGUUUACAUAUGAUAGAUAUCAAACGGCUUUCUUCAGCAUCAAAUCUGUGUUUAAAACACAGUUUAGUGGAGAAAACUUUUUUAAUUAGUAUUCCCAGGUGUCAAUUAAAGAAACACGGCUAUGAUGUAAGAUCCUAGAGAAUAUUUACUGUAGAUAAAUGACACUUUCCUCAUUCAGCUCCAGCCCCUAAUGCUGUCUUUAGAUAAUUAUAGCCAACAUUCUUAAGAACAGAACACAAAAGAAGACAUAAAGAGUGACUAUACAUCAACCCCAGUCUCAAGAAAAAAAGUGACAUCAGGAAUUAGCUAUAAGAUUCAGUCAUUGGCAACCCCAAAGAGACUAUUUUUGUAGCUUAAAAAUACUUGUUGGAAAAUUUGAUGAGCAGCUCUACCUACAGGCUCUGAAGUUUGUAGUGAUGAAUUUGUCUACACUCACUUGUUCUCUACUUAUAAAGCAGUGAGUUGUAAGUGCAACGUAGAAAACAGUUUCAUUCUUAAACAUCUCCUUAGGUGGUACAUAAUAGACUAAAGUUGAAGUUUUAAAAUGCCCACUCACGGGCCUGGAGAACGGGCUUAGUAGUUAGUAGCACUGGCUUCUCUUCCAGAGGACCCAAGUUCUAUUCCCAGAACUCACAGGGUAGCUCACAACUAUACCUGCAGUUCCAAGGAUCUGACACUCUCUUCUGGCCUCCCUGUGCACCAGGUCCAUAUGCGGUACAUAAACAUACAUGCAGGCAAAAUACUCAUACAGAUAAAAUUAAAUGUUAAAAUGCUCACUCACUCCUAUGGAGCCAAAUUUUUGGAACAAAAUAGUCUGCACCCAGAAGGCUGUUCAUCUUCCUUUAUGGUGGUAAGAUACAUGGUGUUAUCUUCCCACAAUAAGCAUGCCCCUUUAAGCUGGAAAACAGCAAGUUACUGCCCUGUGAGUUCUCCUUCCUAGUGGCCCAGUCAGCUAGUUCAAUUGGCCCCCUUUCCAGGAGAACAUUAUUUAUCUGUAAAGCACAAGAAGGUCAUGACUAGACACAAACUUCUCUUACACACACUCACACCUUUUAGGAGAGAUGAUUCCCCAGGAUCUUACUUAGAUUAUUGCUGUUGUUUUUUGUUGUAUCUUAAUUGAGGAUGUAAUCAUCUCUCCCUUCAUAAAGAAAUAAUACCCCAAUACCCCUUCUCCACCUUCUUUUCUGCCUCUGGAAUCUCUUUUUCAACUCACUGUGUAAUGCAAUGAUAAAGACUUCUUCAGAGGGGAAAACAAAGUUACCCACUGCUAGAAUGUCUGGCCUACUUUACCAUGGGUCAGAAUAAUGUGGGCCAUCCAACUUAAUUACACUGGCAACACAAAGUUAUAUUUAACUAAGCAGAACCACACAGGAGCUGAGAAGCCAGGAACUGAAGCCUGACCCCCCCACCCCCCGACUACUUUAACCUCAGAGAAAACUUGGGUUUCAGGAACUAACUCCACAAUCUAAGGCAUCUAGCUAGCAGCCUAUAUCCCAAGCCUUUCAUCAGUGGAAAUCGCCAUCCAAGCAAUUUCAAAAUCCAGAAGUUCUCACUUCUCUGCAGAGGCGCUGCUUCCAGGAAGUUGAUGCAAAUCAACACUGCUUUCUUCCUGAUAUUUUGGAGUCCUCAGGGUUUAUCUUUCAGGGAGAGUUCAACUUCAUAGUGUUGACUUUCUUGCUGAGCAGGCUUGCUUGCACCGGAUCCACACCCACUCUGGUUCUCCAAACAAAGGCGGUAACCACAAAGACUCGGAACUCUGGGAGCCGGUUCCUAGCUGGCGAUGCUUGGCUGGGCUGGAACUGCAACUGCAUCAGGCCAAUGCCCGGGUACCAAGCCGUGCCAGACGAUCCCCAGGAAGUGCAGGGGUAUUCAUGAGCUGACCUCACCGGACUGGGCUGGAAAGAGGGCGGGAUUGGAGGGAGGACAGGUGAGAAGUAACCGGAGUGGUUACUGAAAGAAGAGAGAGAAGGUGAGGAUGGGGAACCGGGGUAGCGGGUGGGAGGCAAGUAGACAAAAAGGCCAGAGCCACGCCCGAGAUGGAGAAUUGUCAGCCUGGCUCAUCAAAAUCCUUGCUCCACUCCCAUUUCCUGGACUUGGCAGAAGACUCCGAAACCGCUUAAAAUCGGAUGUAUUGGUUUCCUGCAAUGCUUUGUCUCGGGUCCGAUCAAUCUCCAUCAAUUAUUUACUUGAGCUCUUUUCCUUGGGAGGCCCGCUGGAGCAGCCUGCACCCUCGGCUUGACCCUCUGGAGUCUCCUGAUGCAGCUGAGAGGCGCUGGCGCACGCUGGCUGCCGGGAGUUCUCUUUGUUCACUCACUUUAAUUCUCAGUCGAUCUCUCCGCGCUUCUUCCCCACCCCCAGCUCUCGGGCGGAGUCCUGGGAUGGCAUUUCCGCGAAUAGACAAUGGUUGUCAGACCCGCCGUCCCACAAACAAAGGGUUCUUGCAAAGAUACGAAGGAACGGUUUAAUUUAGUGCAAAGCGAGUAUGUUUGCUGAUGACGGUGAAGUAGCACCGAGCACGUUCGCCCUCCCCUCACCAAAGGCCAGUUUCUUCAGUGAAAACAAACUGGGAGUUUCUGGGAUCCACAUUUUUUUUUUUAACUGUUGUGCACUUGAGUAAUAGGAGUCAGGAAGAAUGUAUUUAUAAAGUAUCAGCUGACCAGGGAGUUAAGAAAAAUGUGUUUCAAAUUUACGUUUAUCCAUAUUGUUCCACAGUAAUAGUAUUCUUAAAAUUUGAGGGAAAUUUUCUCCUUUUCCUUCUAAUUUUAUUUUAGAGAGCAGGCUCCAGAGCCUCCUUCCUGUCCCUAAAAAUCCCCUUGCAAGCUUCCAGGUAAGAAUAUAUUAAUCUUGUAUUAAAAGGACAUUUUUAGGCGUUAAACCUCUCUUACAUCGUUGUGGUGGUUUUGUGCGAGCUAAGACUUAGAUAUUUUACAACGUGUCUAGCCUAGUGUUAAUUUAGCAGGAGACUUUGUAAGUAUAAAUCCUGUCUUAAGAGUGAAAUGACAAUGAUUGGAGAGUAAUUUGCACAGGAGCAGUUUGUCACAGUGAAAUGAAAGCAUAUUUAGGCCUAGGUAAUUUAUAUCUCCAAUGACAUCAAAUAUGGUAUCACAAGGAAAUCAUUUCAGGCUGUAAAACAGAUGCUAUGAACUGGUUUGUGGCCAGUACUGUCCAAGGUGCUGGCGAUGUAAAGAAAGUCAAGAAAUCGUCCCUGUGCCGAGAAGGCUUAAAUGUAUUAGAGAAAGUUGAGAUAACUGAGAUACUGUUCUUAUUCUUGAAUAUGGAGAAACUGGAAAAGCAAAUCCUGUGAUAUCUAUGAUGAGACGUCCAAUCGUUGAUUUGCAUAGCAAAAUAGAGUCAUAAGUUAUUUUGAGUUUGUGUUAAACACUUCUUCAUUAUGUACCCCAAUAUAAAUUGCAGUACUCUU